rnacentral:misc_RNA from 1 species
UGAUGAUGAUGAUGAUGAUAAUUCGUAUUAUGUUUUAAAUCAUAGUUUUCAUCAUCACCCCGAAACAACAAAUUCAUUUCACAUACCCAAAAAUCAAAAACCCAAAUCCAAAUCUUUUUCAAUUUUCGGAUUACCCAAACGUAAAAAAAGCGAAAAAGAUGAGAAAGAAAAACAGAGGAAGCUGAAAUUCGAUGUAAGUGAAGUAUUGAAAAGGUAUAUGAGAAUGGUAAGACCCUUUUUAUCAUUUGGAAGCAGA